UGGAUUUGUCUUCAAAUGUGUCAUGUUUUUGCCAGACACAUUACAGAGACUCUAGCAAUAAAUAAAUGUAAUGUAAAUAAAGUAAAGUAAAGUAAAGUAAAGUGAAGUAAAAUAAAUAAUCUAAUCUUUGUUUAAAUUUUUAGAUUGUCCCUUUCCAAAUAAUAAUAAUAAUAAUAAUAAUAAUAAUUUUAAUAUAUUUAAACAGUGAAAGUUUUAUUGUUUUUAAAUAUUUUCUUAAGACCCAUCUUGUUAGGCUUUUAUGUAAUUGUUUGUAUUUGGUCUGUUAGGAUGUAAUAAUGAUUAUUUUUUUUUAAUGUUGAUUGUUUUGUUUUAAUGUGUCCUUGAGUGUCAUGUAAGGUGCCUAUAAAUAAAAUGAAAUUAAUGUUACCCAGAGGUCAAGUUCAUUAUUUACGUUUGACAUUUCAUGUAACGGACCGCUAACUGCGCUCAUCAGCUGUAUGUGGUAACCGUAGCGGUCCCUUUAAGAGAAUUGGACCGAGGUAUUUUGAAAACGGGGGAGAACUGUUCAUUUAGUAGUGAAAAGUCAUGUACAAAGAGUGUAUAUACUGCAUAUUUGAUCUAUUUAUUAUGUAACUACACUAUUAUUUACUAUACUGUAAAACUAAAUAUCAGCUAAUGAUAUUAAGGGGAAAUGAUAAGGGCUGUUUGACCGACCCCCCCCCCCUCUUUCGCACAACGGUUUGUUCUCGAUCUAAGGCUCAUGAUGCAGUGGGAUUCAAUAAGCUGGUAGGUGCUGCCCAACGCAAGGUUUUCAGCUCCAGUCUACAACGAAUGAGCACGGAAAUAUACCGCAGCAUCCUCAUUCAUUUGAAGUGUUUACGCGCAGAUCAUAAAGGCAUCACCCCCACUGAUAACCUGCAGCAGCUGGAGGACAAGAGCAGCUCAGACAGCAGCUCAGAGCCCGUUAAAACCUGAGCCAUACACAGGUAUUUGCUAUUUAGUAACCGCUUUUCCAUCCAAUAUGACUUACAGACUACUAGUUGAAAACAGCCGACAACCUUCUGUCAAUACACCAACAAACAUUUCAUAUGAUAUCAUGUGAUAUUCACAGUACUGGGGGCAGAAUCUUUAUUCAUUCCCAGGUCCUUUUAGUGUGUUGUGUUUGUUGUUGUGUGCAUUAGCAGAUGUUACCUGAGGGAGCAGUUUUUAGAGCGGGAUAAGUUUUUCCUGUGUCAUUUCCUCUUAAGCUUAUGGGGUGUACAAUCUGACAUGUUCCUUUGAUCAUUCCCAACCCUUCAGAAGUGCAGAUCUCAGUUCGGUCAUCUGUGUAAAGGUGAUGAUGAAGUCGAGGUGUUCCAGACUCGAUAGUAAGCUGUUAAAAUGUAAUCAGAUGUUGUUUGGGAUGUCAUUUGUCAUUGUCCAAAAUUAGUUAAUACAAUUAAUGAAAAACAGAAUGAGAAAUUGUGUUCAGAUCUGUGAUGUGUCUCACACACUUUGUUUAUUUUUUAAUUAACCUGAGAUGAUUUUCUAGACCGAUCUAAAAGUUAGGAACUGCUGUCCAAGACUUUUUUUAUUUAAUUUUAU
ensembl:lncRNA